rnacentral:rRNA from 1 species
CGAACGGGUGAGUAAUACAUCGGAACGUGCCCAGUCGUGGGGGGAGUAACUACUCGAAAGAGUAGCUAAUACCGCAUACGAUCUGAGGAUGAAAGCGGGGGACCUUCGGGCCUCGCGCGAUUGGAGCGGCCGAUGGCAGAUUAGGUAGUUGGUGGGAUAAAAGCUUACCAAGCCGACGAUCUGUAGCUGGUCUGAGAGGACGACCAGCCACACUGGGACUGAGACACGGCCCAGACUCCUACGGGAGGCAGCAGCC